GGACGUCCGGACUGGUGUCGACAGGGAGGGAAAACCCAAGGUUCUGGUCCUUUUCUCUACUCUUCCUUUUGCCUGUAACUUUGGGUCAGGUACUGGAAUUUGGGCCCCAAUUUCCUUGCACAAAGGCAGAACCAAAUAGACGAAGCUUCACAGAUGCCCCAGAAAUGACCAUUAUCCACAGACUGCAGAGACUCUCCAGUAUCCAUGUGAAGACGUUUCAAAACAUCACCGUGGAGUCUAGGCCUGCCAUCUAUGGAUCCUGACCAGUGUUACAGAAACACAGACUAGUGAACCUGUUAGUGUUAAGAGGUAAUUCUUACAGAAAUCAAGAGGGUACCUGCUCACAAAGAUGACACUCC
rnacentral:lncRNA from 1 species